ACCCGGGCUAGCUGGGAGAGCCGCAGGUGCCCGCGCAUGAGCACAACAUAGUUUGGACUCUGGGUCCACCUGCUGGUGCAGUUUUCCUUCUGCUUUUCUUUUUAGUGAGCAUUCGCUGCCGCCAGGCUUACUCGCAUUUCCCAGCAGUGUGGGGAUCAGCAGGAGUGGGUCCAGAUGCAAAGUGUAGCAAGGAUUCCCCAAAUAAGAAUGGGAGAGGGGUGGUUAAUCAAGAAGGCAGUUCCUGAUGGGUCAGGGAGACUGGAAGCUGUUUUUGUUUUUGUUUUUGUUUUUGUUUCCAUUUCAGGACACAAAAGGAACCCAGGGCUGGGGCAGAGGAUUUCUGUGGUUCUGAGAUUCGGUGCAGAAUUGACAUCAUGGCUCUCCAGGGUCCGUGCCUCACUUUUACAAGCAGAAAAGAGGACAGUCGCCUGCUAGAAGCUGUGGCCUUGCAGGACACUUCUUGGCCAGUGCUUCCCUCCGCCCCCUAUCUCAGCUUCUUGAGGACUCUGCCAGCAGGAGAGGACUGAGGACUGUGCCUCAGCAGGACCAGUGCUUCCGCCUAUCUGCUGCCAGGAUCACAUUAGGGCUUCCUGUGUCUGCGGCUCACGUCUUGUCUUGGGGACAUACCUGUGAUGAUACUGAACAAGUUGAGGCCAUCGCCUGGGGACUAACUCACUGCUAAAUGACGUCAAUAAACCCCUUUGAGGUUGCUGCAGACAGGCCUCCUUGGCUGUCAGCACCAGGGAAUGGCUCACCAUGGCAAGUUAGAGAACAGUGCUACUCUAGCCAAGGUCCCUGGGUCUGAUGACCUUCAUUUACAGGGACAAGCCCAGCCCCAACCAGCUUUCUAGAAGUACAGUUUGACUGUGAUUUUUUUUUUUUUUUUUAAAUCGAGGUUUGAUUAAAUCAAGGAAAAUUUAUAGAUCUUAA